UAGGUGUAGCGAGUGGUUGCUUUUUAAAGAGGAAAGUCCGAGCUGCUUUGGGAUAGGAUUCCAUUUAACUAAUGGCUAGAGUAAUCUAAGGGAAAGCGCAACAGAAAACAAACCGCCUUUAGUCUCUAAAGGUCAGGGUGAAAAGGCGGGGUAAGAGCCCACCGAGAGUGUAGCAAUACAUUCUGUCAUUGCAAGCCCAAUCUGCAGCAAGAAAGGUAUGGUUAGCAUCCCAAAUUUUUAACCUUUCGCUAGAUUUUUGCUGUAAGGCAAAAACAAGAUAAAUAACCACAUAAACAGAACUCGGCUUAUAGCUACACCUAAACU
rnacentral:RNase_P_RNA from 1 species